rnacentral:lncRNA from 1 species
GAUCUUGGUAAACAAACUGCUGGCUUGUAUAAGUUGACAUGGGUUCCUCCUUCCUCUUCCCUAUCUUCAACAAGUUCUGUUUGUUCUGCUUCUACUUCUUGUGAUACUAGUAAGUUUACUGUUUUGUCGUCCAUGCCUAUUUCUUGUAAUGAUACAAUUCUGUCUGAUAAUAAAACUGUUUCAUCUUUCUUACAUGUAACUGGCCCCACUUGUAAUAAU